GGGGCAGCUGUGAAGGAGGAGUUAUAGACCCAAGAGCUAGGGUGCCACAGUCCACAAGGAAUGGCCAGCUCACUGCCCUUGAGUUAGGGAAACCAGGCUGACACAAUGCAGCACAGCCUUAGACGAAACCAUCCGGAUUCCUUGUGGCCAGGGUCCGGAAGCAAGGGCUGCAAGGGGUGUUGGACUAAUCAAGUUCAUUCCAGACCCGUAGGGCUGGGAUCCUGGAGAAAGGGCUGCUGGAAUCACCUGGGAUGCAGGCAGAUGGGCUGAGGGACUGGAAAGCAGGGAAGGAGAGCAAGAGAAGCAGGUGCAGAACAGGGAAAGCCACCAGAGUCUGGAAAUCUGCUUCUUUAGGGGUCCGGCCCUCAGGCUGAGCAGGGUACUCAGUCUGGGCUAUCAUCCAGGAGGCAUGCCAAUGCUGGGCUAAAUGGGACACAUGCUCUUUGGGGGGGUCCAUUCUGAAGACCACGCCAGCACAUGCCGUCAGGGGAGACUUCUAAGGCACUCCAGAGGCCGGGCUGUCUGAGUGGGAUCCCGGCAUCUCCUCCAGACUCAGCAGCCUGCAGCAUCUUGACAGCACAGCCAUGGGCAGAGCUCCCAGGCGGAGCCCGAGAGAACUGGAAACAAGAACAAGAAGGGCUCUGCUGGGAUGCUGGAAGCCAGACCCAAGAAGACAAAAUAUGAACAUACUUUUAUUUCAAGACCAAAGUUCGACCACACUAACGUUUGAGAGAGAUGCCUGAAGUUCAACACUAGGAAAAGCUCUUCUGUCUCUUUACUCUCCCUGCACAGAGCAAACAGCUGCCAAAUUAAACCAUGGAUCAAUCCAGAGUUUAACUCAACAAGGAUAUUUGAUCAACUGAUCAUUGAGAAUAAAACAUCCUUAUGUACAUUGUAAAUCUCAUGAGUUGAACAAAUAUUCCAAACACAUUUGAUGUUUAAUUCACAUGUUUAAUUCACAUGUUUCCUUGUAUUUGAGAAUAUGAAUAUGC
rnacentral:lncRNA from 1 species